rnacentral:rRNA from 1 species
UGUUCCCAUUCCGAACACAGAAGUUAAGCUCUCUAGCGCUGAUGGUACUUGGUGGGAAACUGCCUGGGAGAGUAGGAUGUAGCCACGU